rnacentral:rRNA from 1 species
AACGAACGCUGGCGGCAGGCUUAACACAUGCAAGUCGAGCGCCCACUUCGGUGGGAGCGGCAGACGGGUGAGUAACACGUGGGAAUCUACCCAUCUCUACGGAACAACUCCGGGAAACUGGAGCUAAUACCGUAUACGCCCUUUGGGGGAAAGAUUUAUCGGAGAUGGAUGAGCCCGCGUUGGACUAGCUAGUUGGUGGGGUAAAGGCCUACCAAGGCGACGAUCCAUAGCUGGUCUGAGAGGAUGAUCAGCCACACUGGGACUGAGACACGGCCCAGACUCCUACGGGAGGCAGCAGUGGGGAAUCUUGCGCAAUGGGCGAAAGCCUGACGCAGCCAUGCCGCGUGAAUGAUGAAGGUCUUAGGAUUGUAAAGUUCUUUCGCCCGUGACGAUGAUGACGGUAACGGGAGAAGAAGCCCCGGCUAACUUCGUGCCAGCAGCCGCAGUAA